CAUUGCAUCUUGCUCAUUUCAUUUUGCUCAUUGCAUUUUGCUUAUUGCCUUUAGAAUACCUCUGUUAUAAAGAUUUUAUUUAUUGUGGAGAUGAAUUAUAUACAUUCAAAACAACCCCUAAAAAAUUAUAUAAUUUAGGUUUAAGAUUUAUAGUUUAUUUUAUUGUUAUUUUUAAAAACAAUAUUAGGCUAUGUUACUUGGUAUUAUAUCAGCAGUUAAUCUGGAUGUUGUAUUUGUUAUUUGCUCUCAUUAUAAAGUCAAAUGAAACAGCAUUUACAACCCAUUUUGCCCUUAUUGUUAUUAAUAGCAAACACUGAUCACCUGAACAGUUACUUGUAGAAUGCUGUAGAAUGUAGGUGCUGUAGAAUGUAAAACUGUAUUUACAUAGGCGUAGAUGAAUAAUAAGAGUUCUGAACAUGGUAAUGACAUAUCAUGAGCCUCAAACACGAUUGUUUCCUCCUCCUUAUGUGAAUCUUGUGCAUGCAAAAGACUGCUGGAAACAUUACAGUCGUGAUGUACGCCCCAACAUUAAAUUACACAUUAAAUUAAGUACAAUGUUGUUACAAUGCUAAAAACAAAGUUGUGACUGCUGAGUUAGCUCUAUAUGCUAGAUAAUGCUAUAUUCUGGAGUUUAGGCUGAAGUUCUACUAUUGAUGUUACAGUUACGUUUUGCAGGUUUAUACUGAAAAAAAAACCCACAAACUUACCUCUCAGAAACUUACCACUCAUUUCCAAUCUCUGAAUAAUUGAUUAUUCCUCAAAAUCUGUAUCUUCAUCUGAAACAGGCUCAAACAUAAGUUCUGCUUGCACACACACAGUGCUACUGAAGGAGCUGCUCUGAGAGCAGAGCUCAACAUUAUUAUUACACAACAAAUAAGGUAAUAAUAGACAAUUUCAUUCUGGGGACAAAUCCUAGUGUUGUAAAUGGAUAUGUGAACCUGUUUCUGGAUCAUUUUUGCACUUAAAGGGGACAUGUCACAAUAUUUUUUUUAGAUGUCAAAAAAAUCUUUGGUGUCCCCAGAGCACAUAUGUGAAGUUUGUCAGGUUUAAAAUACUUAUGAACCUUAACAAAAAUAAGACGCACUCAAACCACGAAUGGGGUAGUAUAUAUUCUGCAGGGAGAACCCAGAUUGAGAUGUCUCAUUAGGAUACACUCAGACUGUUUCUCGAUCUGAGCUUCUCUUCGGACUGUAUUUAUUUAGGUUUUAAUCACUGGUUCUUGGUUCACUGCGACGGUCGAACCUCACAGACCUUCACAAUUGUAACAACAUCCCACAUUCUGCUAAGUCUAGAAAAAUAGGAUUGUCUACAUUCUACAAAAAAACAAAGAUAGUAAUUAAAAUGAUGCAGCUUGAUAAUGCAGUAAUCAAAGGUCUUAUGAUAACAAAAGCACACUCUACCCACUAUUUCACCUUGGCAGUUUUUCUGAGUACCUAGUAAGAUUAAUAUGAUUCUAAGCAAAUGAUUAUACAUUCCUAAAUCUAAACCAAGGAUUAUACAUUCUUAAAUGUUAACAUAAAAUAUUCAAAAAUGUAAUAAGAAAUACUGUUUAUCAUUUAUAAUGUCUUCUACUUUGGGUUGUAACCCAUUACCUUCUUAGGCACUUUAGGAUUAAACCGUCAUGAAUAGACAAAUAAAGGGUUAAAUAAUAGGCUUUAGUAGUUUUCCAAACAACAAAUUUGUGGUCUUCUCCAUUUGCAAUAUUACCCAUAAAAUAUGCAUCAGUAAGUACAGAUUGAAUCAUUUUCUUUUUCAUUCUUGAAAUACAUUGUAUCACACAAGUCAAACACAUGCAUAUUAGCAAAAGAGCAGAUAAAAUUGGAACAAAUAUUUUCAACAGUUUUUUCCACCAAGAUCCUCCAAACAACCAUUGCGUCAUAUCCUCAGUUGUAACGUAGUCUUUUUCCAUGUCCUCGCUCUUAUACUGGCGUUCAGAAGUCCUGGUGUAUAUGCAGAUGUUGAUGUUUAAAGAAAAGAUUUACAUACCCAACAAUUGGAAAUAUUAGGCAUCUUAGCGUAUGUAUGAGCUAAAGUUACUGCCAAAUUAAGAUUACUGUGAUGUUCUAACCAUGGAUGUAAUAAUGGAUCUGAAUUGUGAAUCAGAAUAGAAAUCAACACAGCAAAUAACAUUGUUUUUUUGUAUUAAUUUUGCUCAUACCCUUCAAUGUAAUAAUAAAAAAUGACCAUUGGCCUGAAUUUCAGUGAAUUUCUUAAAGGCCAUAUAUCUCUGUGAAAAAUAAAAAAACAAAAACAAAAGAGAAGAAAACAAGAGAGCUCCGUGGCAAAAAAACAACAAUUUGUUUAAACAAAUUUGUUAGGAAAUAUUUUAUUUUGACUAUUGCUAGGAAAUAACUAGUUUUGACUCCCAUAGAAACUAAAGAAACCAUCAGGCGACUAAGCUGCCGCAGUCCGGUGAAGCUAAACAUUUGCCCCCACCCCAUAUCUUCAUCAUGAGGUGGCCCCCUCUUCACUAAAAGACAAAGUUCUUCUCAUGACUGUAUCCCACAUCGGCUGUCUAAUAUUUGGGGAGUAUAAGCUAAUUUGCAUCUAGGUUUACCUAGCAACUUCCCUGCUGUUGAAUUUUAUUGCUGAAGGGGUUCCUAGAAGGACCGCAUAAGGAUCGUCCCAUCUUGGUUUUAGGCCUGAACGUUAAUUAAAAAUAAAAUGUUAUAUAAAGUAGUGUUACAUAAAAAUAAUUUUUUAUAUUACAGUUUUUCUCCAUUGGUUUGGCUCAUUUUUUGAAACAGAAAUUACAUUCUCAAAACAACAUGGACAAACCUCCAAACCACUUGGCAAGUGUUCACAACAGAAUUGAAUUUCUCAUUCAUUUCAUCAAAUUGCAAAUAUCUAAGUACAUGUCUCAAUAGCUCAGUACAUCUUUGCAACUGAUUAAGUACAGGUAGCCUACAUUUAGCACAAUUUCCAAGUGAAUAGAUCUUGUUGAUCUAAACUGAUUGGUUGAUUCUCAGUCUAAUGGUUGUUCACUCCAAAAUGUGUCAGCGUCAUUUCAUUGUAUAAGUCAUCACAUGCACAAUAGUCUGUUCAACUGGCAAAAUUAGUCAAGAACAUAAUACCAUGAAUAACAUAUAUGAAUGCUUUGAACAUUUGAUAAAUUUAUUACAGCAAUUGACAGUCAGGUAAAACUAAAACUUGACUAACAAAGUAGGAGUUUACGCUUUUGUAGAGAAUAAUGUCAUUUGAAGGAAACGAGACCCCUCACAUCCUCAUGUUUGUGGAUGAAGCUGGCUUCAACCUGGCCAAGGGCCGAAGACGUGGCCAUAAAAUUAUUGCCCACCGGGCAGCAGCGUGUGGAUGGUCAGGAGGGUGAGGAUGGUGGCCAGGAGAGGAAGGGUGAGGACAGCGACCAGGGAAGAAAUGUUAGUUCUGAAACUCCCGCAUUAUUUACAGCAGGCUGCAUAUAAUUUUUAUUGUUUUUUGUGUUUAUAUUAGAGUAUAUUAUGCUUUAUAUAUUUUAUUUUGGUCUGGUGUAUGGAAGUUACUUUGUGUGUGAAUAAAAGUCGUUACAAUUUCCUUGGCAGUGUGAGUGCAAUGUGUGGUGUCAAACCUUGGAGGCUACUCUUCCCCUAAAAUCAUAUUUUUUUUUCAGUUUUAUACACAAUUGUAUUCUGUUAGCUAGACAAAAAACAGUACAGUACCAUUGUCAAUAAAGGGCUAAGACUGAAAGGUGGACAUAAGAGAUAUUUCAAUGGUCCCCUGCCAUAGUGACAAAACAUCUAAACAUUUCGACUUGCAGUGCUUACACAAUGCCAAAGGGACGAUACAUUUUGGGGGCACUGACUGUUAAAAUGAGAAGGAUAUUUAGUUUUGACACAUGAGUGAACUAUUUUGGGAGCUUUUGCAGGUGAACCAUGGUGUUGUGCCGAACCAUCCACUUUAUUUUGACAAAAGCACCAAGAGUGUUGAGAACGUCCGGUCUGCUUCAAGAAAUGAGGCAAGCAGUUGAGAAGGAUAUUUGCCAUUUUUGUGGCACUGACUCUUUAUAUGGGAAAGGAAUUUAGUUUUGAAGCAUGAGUGAACAGUUUUGGGAAAUAUAUGAGCUUUUGCAAGCAAACUAUAGUGUUGAGCUGAACUGUAAGACUGUUUUGCCAAAUUAUCUUAGAGUUUUGAGAAUGUAAUUUCUGUUUCAAGAAAUGAGCCAAACCAAUGGAGAAAAACUGUAAACCCAUUUGCCCUGGCACAAUAUUAUGUUGUCAUAUUAUCCAUAAAGGCAGCAAAACUGUUAGGAAAUACCCGGAGUCGGAGUCUCAAUGCAAGUAAUUUAAUGAAGAGUAGUAGAAAACACUGGAUGUAGACAGGAUAAUAGAAUACACUGGAUGUAGACAGGAUAAUAGAGUACACUAUAAUGAGAGUCACUGUUGUCUCAAGCCGUCCGUGAACCACACAAAGCCACACAAUAAUCCUCCUCGCAGACACAGAGUCACAGGAAACUAACUGGCAAAGCAUCCAGUUAGUCCAAAAAUAGGAGACAAGCACAAUCGGGAACCAAGCAGAAACCCGAACACAGGAUUAGGAUCCCGAAACAGAGACAGUAAUCCAAACGGGCAGGCUGAACCUAUGGCGAGAGCAGAAAGGAGAAGUUAACCGUUGCGUGGUAGAAACACUUGGACGGACAGGGAGACAGAGAUCUAACAACGAGUGCGUGAUGGAAGACGAAACAGAAAGGUAUAAAUAGACAAGAGGGAACAAGACACAAGACUAAGGUUUUUAAUUAAUGGGAUAAAAAUGACAGAUUUUAAGGAACAUGUAGGCAUGAUUACGUUAUAAAAAAUACAAACAACAUUAUUUGAAUGCUUGUCAUUUUGCCAUCAAAAUACAGAAAAUACAUAAUUUCACAAAUUUCCACAGGAUAAAGAACUUAAGGAACAAUGUAUUGUUAAAAUUUAAAUGGACAUAUGACCUUAUUUGAGAUAAGAUUAGUGUUAUUAGUGUUUUAAAGGAACCGUAUGUAGUAGGGUGGCCAAAAAUGGUACUGCAAUCACUUUCAAAUUACUGUAGAGCGGUGUAUCCCAUUCCACUUCCCCCUGACUCGAGGUUGCCAGAUAGUAUAGGCUGCAGGAUCCAACAGGAACAUACUGGUUGCUACAAGAAGCUUCCAAUGGCAAGUGACGAGUCCUACACAUUAAGUUUUUUUUUCUUUUAAGCCGACCGGGCCACACUAGCGGACCCGACGAGUCUUUGUUUACAAUCUAUUAAGUUUUUCAAACUAUUACGAUUACAAUUUAUCAUAUUGAUGAAGAAGGGUAGACCAAAACACUACAUGACAACAUAAACAUCAGUUGAGGGCUGCAACUCCACUUUUUAAAUUACAAUAUCCUGGCCGGACCACUGUUGUCAGUGAUAUAAGUAUUUUAAAUGAAAAUGAUUUGUUAAUGUCUACUGACAUAUCAGGGCAAUUUUAUGAUUUAUUGAUAUACAUUUCUUACAUACUGUUCCUUUAAAGAAAAGUUAAAAUGUGCACACAUCAUAUCAGUGAAUUGCCAACAGGCUAGUAACCAAAACAGAUUAAAUUGGGUCACCUAUGUAGAAGUUGGUGCCUUCUAGGCCGAGAAAACCCAGAAAAUUUGUUUUUUUUUUUGGCUCAUGUGGAUAAAAAACACCAAAUCCCAGAAUGCAUUGCUUCACUGCUCUACGAGGCCACUCCCUAGUCACGCCUACCAGUUCGAGAGGGCAGGAGGGAGGGAGAUUCAAUUAGGCUAAAUACAACUUUUACAGACACUGGAAAACGUGAAUCUCUGCGACGAUUUAGUUGAUAUAUUAUUAUAAAUACUACCUUUUCCCCAUCGAAAUGGUGAUAAGUUGCAUUGUAUCGGGAUGUUCGGACUCAAAGUUUUCAUCAUUUGGCGCGGUGUAAACAAUGGCUGCGGGCUAUCAACCACCCAAAGUUUUGAGAAGACAACUGAUGUGGUAAAAUUGAAAAACCUGAGGGUUUGCAGUCUUCAUUUCAAGCUGGAAGACAUCGAACCCAAUGUACUCGAAAUGAAGUGAAACACGCUAAAGGACACUGCAAUUCCGUCCAUAUUUACCUUUACAGACGACGAACAGCCGGGGCCAUCUGGUAUCAAACGCAUUCGUCUAGAGGUCUGUCAUAAAUCAUAUGUGAUUUUCCUGUGCAACCAGUAAGGGGGACGUUGAGGUACUGAAAUGCCGGUGGAAGUCCAUUCUACACCAUGUGUGUAAUGAGCAUGAGUGGACAGAUGAUGACGGAGGACAGCAUCGGUGUGACCAUGCUCUUCCAAAGAUGCGCAUGCGAUGAAGAAGGAUUCUGUGGCAUUUCAAGACCUCUCAUAGCUGGUCCUUAACAAAACGCUUCUGAGAGACAUGGAAAAGAUGGCCCUGUUCAAACAUACUGGAGAUGCACGGUUCAACCAAGUGUUCUGCAAGAGAUCCAAGCAGUGGGUCUUGAAGAAAAUCUUCAUACCACACACCACACAGUUUGUAGACAAACUCAUCCAUAAGGUCAUAAAAAAAAGACUCAAUCCAAACAUUGUGUUCAAGGUGCCUUCCUCCUCACUUGCCCUGCCACAGCCUGCGCUGCCACCCAACAUUGCACCAGUGCCUAAACCAUCAAAGAAGGCUGCCACGACUUCUUUCAAAAGUUGCUUCUGAGACUGACACUUUCUAAUAAUAAUAAUAAGCACCUCUUCCCUUAGUCCUUUUGCUGUGUCUAAUCAGAUUCUGCCACCACUCUGUCUUUAUAUUUAUAUUAUUAUAUACUGUGUGUGUGUGUGUGUGUGUGUGUGUGUGUGU